rnacentral:lncRNA from 1 species
AAGGGUCUGUUGUGAAUUGGUAAUGGGGCACUAAGGGCAAAGGGUUGGCACUGAGCAGAUCCCCCAGGGAGCUGAAAGGCCAGGGGUGGGACUUGAACCAGCUCCCGAACAGAAGUCUCCAACUGCUGGAGAAACAGCCCCAAACAAAGAGAUGCCCAUUUUUCUGCCUGAGACCACUGCCUGGAACCUCCAUGUCCUUACCCAAGAGCCCUGACUCCAGUGCCAACCUGUUUUGGGGUAUCUGCCUUCCACCUCCUUAUCCAUGGAACAAGCCAAGCUACUCUAAGACUCUGGAUCCUUCCUGCAGACACCCAUCCAUGCCCCGCCUAGCCAGUGCCUCACCUUCAUACCCUGAUAUGCCAAUCAUGCUCAGCAUCUCUGUAGCCCAUACAAGGGUCUGAAGGCUGUGACACAGAUGAUGGUUCUCUUCGCGGAUAGAGUUGCAGAACUGGAAACCUGCUUUCCUCGGCUCCCAAGGCUCAGAGGCUUCGCAGUGUUUCCUGUUCCUUAAUUUUUCUCCGAAUCCCUCAUUAAGCCUCAUAGAGAGCAAGUUCGGCUCACUGCCUCUUUUGGUCCUGACACCUGAACACUCAUAUCUGCUCCAUCCAUAAUAACUUCUCUAGAGCUCUUCACAGCGUGAGAGGCCUUACACUUUCAGUUUCUCAUCUAAUCUUUCCAGCAAAGCUGUGAGAUAGGAUUAUUAUAUUCUUUCUUGACAGCUAAGAAUGAGGGGCUCAUAGAGAUUUCAUGAAUGGUCCAAGACCUCACGGGGAUGGGGGAUGGGGCGGCUGAGACCUACAUUUUUCCUCUCCUGCACAAUCUUCAACAAGAAAUUAAAGGGAAGUUCUGUUUCUCCCAGUAUAGUCAUUGCUCCCCUAAAAAGUCACAACACCC